AGCAAACGGUCGAGGAAAUGUGCACCGAGCCGGUUGGAAGCAACCAGCUACGCUGCCCGCGACAGCUCUGGAGGUCAAGCAAUAACAAAACAAGGCCCUUUGAGUUUCAACGGUGUGCAGCGAAAAAUACGGCAAUUAUAAAAGAAAAAAACCAUCACAUCUCCCGCUAGCGAAGCGGAUCACGGCUAAUUGCGUCUUUGCGGGAGCACGCAACGGCUGAAACCAGACGCAAAAGCUACCAAGUCAUCCCAAAGCGUGAUGCUUAGAAGGAGCAAAGGGAGACAAAAGAAACAAAUAUUCAGCCUUCUACGUCAAAGAACAGACGUGCCCAAAGUCUUUGAAGUUCAUUUUUUAGGGGCAUCAGGUGCUUAAAAGUCUGCCUUUCCAAAGCCGAUUGUCACCAAAUGUGACGGAAAACAGCAUUCACGUUUGGGGUAGAUCGCUACAAG